GAGAAAGCCUCCGCCCCGGAAACGGUUCCGGGUGCGCCGGGCCUGCCGCGGCCGCUGCCACGGGGCUGCACUACGGUCUGGGGGCUGCCCCGGCCAGGGCUGCCGAGUCCUGCGGCUCCAGGGAGCAGGCCACGCGGGCCGAGUCCUGCAGGCCCGCCCUUCAGACUUUGCCUGAUUGAAUUUGUUGGUCUUGGAGGCCCAAGGGACUCGACUGCUCCGGAGCUUGGACAGGUGCCUUGUGGACCUGGCUCUUCUGAAGGUAGCAUUACCAGCUUGGCUGAUAGACUAGGAAGACAGUAAUUCAUGGCUGAGUAAACUUAACAUGGACAUUUUGGAACCAGGCAAACCCUACAGGAAUCAUCCUCACUGACAACCUGUACACUUGAAAAUACUGGGCCUAUCAUGUUAUUCACUUAUCUACUUUUCUUCUCUUAUUCCUCCUCCUCUUUCCUGUCUUCUGUCCCUCAACAUCCUCCUUCCACAGUAUUGAGGAUUUAACUUAGGGUAUGCUAGUAUUUGCAUACUAGUCAAACACUCUACAACUAAGUGUAGUGAACAGGAAAGUGGGGACUUAAAACAGACAGACACUGACCAAGAAGAGAAUUUAACAGACUUUAUAUAUGUAUCAGGAACCAAAUGUUAGGAAACAGAAUGGCAGAUCUGAGUUUUGCUAGAACUUGGUAGAGUUUCUAGAUAAUGUUCCUCUAUUCCUGCUCAAAGUGGCUUCCAGACCACCAUUUAGAACACUUCUCUCUCUCUCUGUCUCUCUCUGUCUCUGUCUCUCUGUCUCUCUGUCUCUCUGUCUCUCUGUCUCUCUGUCUCUCUGUCUCUCUCUCUCUCUCUCUCUCUCUCUCUCUCUCUCUCUCUCUCUCUCUCUUUUUUAGGUUAAGUCAUUUGACCUGAGAAAUUUUCUAUGCACAUGUAUCUUGUGCCCACUUUACAAUAACGUUUCAAAACUCUCAAAUGAUAGCACUUAGUCCCAAGAUUCUAACCUACCACAUUCUCCCUCUGAUUCAAAGAGUAAGAAGUUACUCUUAGAAGUCUAGAACCAGAAGUUCCUGGGGAAGGAGAGCAGGGGAAAGUCUUUAUUAUAAGCUAUCUUACAGAUUUCAAAGGAAGAAGGGAGUCAGAGCUGUGACUUGCUGUCACUCUAGUAAGGAGAAGAAACAGAUUCCCAAAUCCACUGGUCCUUGGCAAAACAGGAUAUAGAUUAACAUCCCCGAGGAAAGGAGAGGCAGAGCACUGAUGAAGGCAGUUUUGCACGUUUCUUAGCAUGGUAAGGGCAGCUAGGGAAAGGGCUGGCUCCAGCGGAUUUUGUGAUGUAACACUGACAGAACGCUGUUCCUCAGCAGAAAGCAAUUCCUCACUUUAAUCUCGGUCAGUAAGAAGAUGGAUCCCAGCUUGAGCCACACUAAAGCAGAGUGGGGGUUUCUGCCAAGUCCCACUUAGCAGGACCUACCCAGACAAACUGAAUUUGCAGAUGGGACUUUAAGGGCCAGCUAAUCAAAGCCUCAUCAAAAGCUUCUUCCUUCUACGCUGUCUUGCCGAACACAACGAACCAUGUGGCAAGGUAUAGAUUUAUAGAAAUGGAUUAAUUUAAGCUGUAAGAACAGUUAGCAAGAAGCCUGCCACGGCCAUACAGUUUGUAACAAAAAAAAAAAAAAAAAAAAGGCGGGACAAGGAGGAGAAUAAAGCUGGGAAGUGGAAGGCUGAGUCAGAGAGACACUGCCAGCCGCCAUGAUGAGAAACAGCAUGUGAAGAUGCCGGUAAGUCACGAGCCAUGUGGCAAGGUAUAGAUUAAUGGAAAUGGAUUAAUUUAAGCUGUAAGAACAGUUAGCAAGAAGCCUGCCAUGGCCAUACAGUUUGUAAGCAAUAUAAGUCUCUGUGUUUACUUGGUCGGGUCUGAGCGGCUGUGGGACGGGCGGGUGAGAGAGAUUUGCCCGGACUGUGGGCCAGGCAGGAAAACUUAAGCUACAAAUGGCGUCCAACGUGGUGGCAAGAGUUUCCACCUAAAACCUGAGAAAAAAGAUUCUAAAAUGGAGCUAAAAACAGUUCCUAAUUGUCUCUCUCAAAUGAGCGGCAGCUGCCGGUUUGAGCUACUUGUGGGUUCCUAGCUCGAUCUGCUGUAUGGCGGGAAUGAGGCCUCUGCAAGUGGCACAUUAAGCUGCAUGGUGGAUUUAGACUUUGCUAGUACAAAACAAAAAAAGAGGUUUCUGGGCUACACGCUGCUUGGAUAAAAGCAUAGACCCACGAUAGCUCCCAGAGCUGGUGGAAAAUGUACUACUGCCAUGUUGGGAAGCUGAGGUGGGCGGAGUCAGCAGCCACAGCUGUUGCAGUUUAAAGCAAUAGAUUUACAAUAAGACAGAUUCAGAUGUAAUAGUUUACAAUGUGUGUAAAAUAUACGUAGGUUUGAAAGAGACAAAAAAAGGUGAUAUAUACAGUUAUAUAAACAAAUACAUAGUUUUAAAAAAUAAAGUCUUUAAAGAUACAGUAAAAUUAAUAUAAAAAAUAAGCCAUGUGAAGAUGAAUAUUACACAGAGAAUCUGGAUUGUGUUGUCUUUGAGAUUUUUAACUGCAGAAAAAUAUUUGAUUGUAAAAGCUGUUGAGUUAUGCCAAAAUGUAUAUUUUAAAGGUACCUUGACUUCAAAAUUUGGAUAUAAGGAUAUGUUGCUUUGGAAAAGAGUCUCUGCUUUUUUUCCCACAGAAAGCCAAAGGCUAUGGAUUUGUUCCAGAUUAAGAUACAUCAGGUUUGACCAGCCAAGACCCCCUGAAAGGUCUCUGAUGACACCAUGGCCCAGAUGAUCCAACAUCCAGAAUGGUUUGAAGGCAACUGGCUCAGACAAUACAGCCUCAUGGACUAUUCCAUAAUCCUAAAAUUUUCUUUGCAUCCCCAUAAGAUACAGCGCCCCCCUCCAGCAGGAAGUAGUAAGAGAAGCUACGCCCAAAUUCCCAAAUUAUAUGUAAUUUUACUUUGUUAAGGUUAAAACCUUCCUUUUUGAAAAAAAAAGGGGGGGGGGAGUGCUGUGGGAUGUUCUGUAUGGCAAAUGUGUUGCUAAUUAGUCAAUAAAUAAAACACUGAUUGGCCAUUGGCUAGGCAGGAAGUGUAGGCGGGACAAGGAGGAGAAUAAAGCUGGGAAGUGGAAGGCUGAGUCAGAGAGACACUGCCAGCCGCCAUGAUGACAAGCAGCAUGUGAAGAUGCCGGUAAGCCACGAGCCAUGUGGCAAGGUAUAGAUUAAUGGAAAUGGAUUAAUUUAAGCUGUAAGAACAGUUAGCAAGAAGCCUGCCACGGCCAUACAGUUUGUGAGCAAUAUAAGUCUCUGUGUUUACUUGGUCGGGUCUGAGCUGCUGUGGGACUGGCGGGGUGAGGGAGAUUUGUCCUGACCGUGGGCCAGGCAGGAAAAUUCAAGCUAUACAACAGUGUCUGCUUCUUCUUAAUCUUGCACAGAAACCUAAUCAUUAACAUUCUGAAUUCAUUCUUAGUACAGCCAUCCUUCUGUAUUUUCCUCUCUUUCUCCUGGAGUCUUCCUCUGUAAGCUAAAGAACAUCCUCAACAUUCCUAGAUCCUGGGAAGAAGACAUCCUCACAAAACUCAAAAACAUACAGCGAAUACUUAUUGCUUUUCUUUUGGUUUUUCGAGACAGUGUUUCUCUGUGUAGUCUUGGCUGUCUUGGAUCUCAUUCUGUAGACCAAGCUAGCCUCGAAUUCAGAGAUCUGCCUUCCUCUGCCUGCCAAUUGCUGGGAUUAAAGGCGUGCGCCACCAACGCCUGGCUCUAUCAGUUGUUUUUUUAAGUCAAAUAUAAUAUGGCUCAUAAAUCUGAUUUCAGUUCUUAAUUUAAUAUAGAAAUCCCAAUACAAUGAAAUGAUAAAAUAAGGGGGCCAGACAUAAGAAAUAUGACUAAUUUCCACAGCAGAUUUGUAGCAGCCAGCUAACCCAUACUAAACUUAGAUAUUUGAUCAUUUUA